GGUCUGAGAGGAUGAUCAGCCACACUGGAACUGAGCCACGGUCCAGACUCCUACGGGAGGCAGCAGUGGGGAAUAUUGCACAAUGGGGGAAACCCUGAUGCAGCCAUGCCGCGUGUGUGAAGAAGGCCUUCGGGUUGUAAAGCACUUUCAGCGAGGAGGAAAGGUCGGUAGCUAAUAUCUGCUGGCUGUGACGUUACUCGCAGAAGAAGCACCGGCUAACUCCGUGCCAGCAGCCGCGGUAAUACGGAGGGUGCAAGCGUUAAUCGGAAUUACUGGGCGUAAAGCGCACGCAGGCGGUUGGAUAAGUUAGAUGUGAAAGCCCCGGGCUCAACCUGGGAAUUGCAUUUAAAACUG
rnacentral:rRNA from 1 species